rnacentral:lncRNA from 1 species
CCGGUCGUAAUUGCAGAACCGAGAACUCUUCCUCGGGAUAGGUCAUUGCCUCAUUGGUUUAAGUGAGCUCAACAAAGACGGUAUGUUCGGUGAACCUAAUAGACACAAGAGAAUCCCCAAACUUGAAGCUCGGGUUGCUUCUUGCCACAUCGAAAACACUUAGCUCAUAAGCAGAGCCUUCUUGCAAGACAUGUCUGAAGGUGUUUAGCCGGUGAACGCUGAUCGACCCUUGUAAUAAGCGUAGCCUGCGAAUGGAGAGGAUGAAUCAGAGUAAACAAAAUUGCGUCUCUCUAUAACUGUAAUUAAUAAGUUGUAUAGCCGCAGGAACAGACCCGACUGUUCAUAUGAAGAAAAGGCAAAAAUUAAGAACAAUUAACAAAUCAUGAAAUACUUAUUACGUGAUUGUAAAAUUUAAAGAAUUUUCUAAAUAUCAAGAGAUUGAACCGAGAAGAUAAUUAUAAUAGUGGCAAAAGAUACUUACAUGCUCAUCAACUAAUAACAUCUCAACGCUCAUCUGCUGUCCCCUUUUGUUGAUGUUUUUCGCCUCCCAGAACCUCAAGAGGCGGACCUCCGCCGUGUUGAAACAUCUCCCGGCCCUCAAAUCAGCAAGAACAGUGUACGAAUUAGCCAUCUGAAUCGGUCGCUUGGAAAUCGAAUGUUUUGAGUUGGAGUUUCAGAUUUGGUGUUUGAGCUGAGGUUUUCAUGAUAGGAGUAUAGCUGCAGAUCCAGGCAGUUUUAGAGCUAACGAAAAGUCUCGCCGAAAACUCAAUGAAAGAGGAGUGGAGUAAUCAAGGAAAAAAGUAAAAUAAAUUACAUAUUAAAGGAGAUAUGAGACGUUACGGUUAGGAAAGGGAGUGGGUUGUGUCGGUGAAACUUUGUGAUGUCAAGAAUCCCCUGAAGAAGAAGAACACAGAAGAACCCUAAAUCUACGCUGGCUAUAAACGACCCUGAUCAUCUGGGCCUAAGACUGGGCUAUUUAUAAAACACACACUAAACCCACAUCACAAAAGAAGCUCAAAGCCACUUGAGUGAAACUCACUUACGCAAAAAAAAAACAACGGACAAUAAAGCACGCGCACAUCAAAGCAUAACGCGUGAGACACACUGCCUACCUACCAGGUCGACACGUAGCGAAAAACGCCGCUCCCUGUUUGCUGAGCUGGAUAGCCUAAGGAGAGAGAUAACUCUCCUUUUUAUAUAUAGAUAUUAUAUCUCUCUUAAACGGGCGAACACAAUUCUAGUUUUUUUAUCUUAAUUUAAAGUCUCUAAUAUAUAUCUAGCUUCUUUACUCAAACAUAUCUAAUCUAUUAAAAUAGAAGUCAAAUAUAAACUAACCUAAAGACUUACAAAUUAUUUACAAGUGACUGUCACUGAAGUAAUUAAUAAACAAAUCUUUUAAUUAUUCUUUAUCUUUUCAAAAUCAAUUUGCUAAAACAACUAUAACUAAAUAGGAUUCGGCUACAAUAAUUAUAAAUUGCUAGCUUGUAUUUUACCAGAAUGUUUUAAAUUCAAUUUGAAUAUCCCUUUUUGGCAAACUACUAAAUAUCGCUAUUCCAGAUAAUUGGUUGAGAUCUCCUUCUUCAGCUACAUACUCGUGAAACACAUACACACGCAUAUUUUUUUAUCUAUGUUUUCGUAUGACAAAUAAUCAAAUGCAAAUUCAAUAAGAUAAAGAUAUUAUAAAAAUGAAUAAUACAAUUGAUGGUUUGGAAAAUAAAUUAAUUAAUCCAUAUAAACUAUAAAAUUGUUGUGUUUCAUAUUAAAAACAAUUUAAUAUAUGUAAUGUUAAAAAUAUACACUAGCAACUAUAUAAAACAAAUACUAAUCGAUAUAAAUUAAAUCAAACACCCGCACGGGUGUGCGGAUCCAACUCUAGUUCAUCUUUAUGUUUCAUGUAUUCCUCAUAAUUAUCUUGUUUUGCAUGUAUUUUAUUUUCAUUGUUUGAUCUUUCCCUCCCAAAAUUAAGAUUUAGAUAUAUAGAUUAUAGAUGUAGUUUUUAUUAUUAUUUUAGCUGAAAAAUAUAGUUCUAAACAAUCUUUUAAGAAUGGAUGCUGCAUUUAAUGUUUUAAGAUACACAAAUUUAUCUGAUCUUCAAAGCUUUCAAAUCUUAACCAGAUACAACAGACUUCAUUAGCAUACUCAGUUUGUCGUCCAAAAUGCAUAAUGCCCUAACUGGUAAGUUUCAUUCUUCACUUUAAAUUUGUUUAAAUUUGUGUUACAAUUAUAUUUCCUUUUAUUGCAUAUCUGUAAUUUUUGUAUAUAAAUUUUAAUCAUAUCUUAAAAUUUAGUUUCAAAUGAAAUAUUUGUUCUUGUGUUUUGUGUUUUCUAUAUAUAUUUCACGUCAUCAAAACAUUUAGUCUUGAACCCGCAAUAAUAUACUUCAUUAGCAUAAUUUAUUUGCAGAAUUUACUAGGAUAGUUUAUUUAAGUCAUCAAGAUUACGGAAAAUAUAGCAAACUCCAUCCAAAUAUUUUAACAUCAAUUUUUUUUUGUAACAAAUUCUCAUUAUAAAUAUUUGAUUACAAGUUAUUUUGAAUUUAACUUGUAUGUGCUUUUAAAUAUUGACUUGUAACUUUUUAGGCUACUAGAAUAAAUUUGCAAAAGGCUAGUCGUGGUUGUCGUGACAUACCUAUUAGAAUUGGUAUGUAGUAUUAGAAUUGAAUUGUGACAUGUAGUAUUAGAAUUGAAUUACAGUAUGAUUUAUAGUUCGAUGUAACUUGCAGUAAAAAAUAUGUGGUAAAAAUAGUAAGUUUAUGUGGUAAGUUUUACAGUAAAAAUAAAAGUUAUCAUUUUAUUAAAACUUAUGACUGGUAACAUUUUUGAUGUAUAAGUUGCAGUAUGAGUUCUGAAUAAAAGAAUUAAAUAUAUAAAUUGAUAAAUAGAAUUUUUUUAUUAAGCUCUUUUUAAAAUUUAAGUGAGCUCAACAAAGACGGUAUGUUCGGUGAACCUAAUAGACACAAGAGAAUCCCCAAACUUGAAGCUCGGGUUGCUUCUUGCCACAUCGAAAACACUUAGCUCAUAAGCAGAGCCUUCUUGCAAGACAUGUCUGAAGGUGUUUAGCCGGUGAACGCUGAUCGACCCUUGUAAUAAGC